rnacentral:rRNA from 1 species
GGAAAAGAAACUAACAAGGAUUCCCCUAGUAACGGCGAGUGAAGCGGGAAGAGCUCAAAUUUGAAAUCUGGUAGCCUUCGGUUGCCCGAGUUGUAAUCUAGAGAAGUGUUUUCCGCGUUGGCCCAUGUACAAGUCCCUUGGAACAGGGCGUCAUAGAGGGUGAGAAUCCCGUCCUUGACAUGGACCCCCAAUGCUUUGUGAUACACUUUCAACGAGUCGAGUUGUUUGGGAAUGCAGCUCAAAAUGGGUGGUGAAUUCCAUCUAAAGCUAAAUAUUGGCGAGAGACCGAUAGCGAACAAGUACCGUGAGGGAAAGAUGAAAAGCACUUUGGAAAGAGAGUUAAACAGUACGUGAAAUUGUUGAAAGGGAAACGAUUGAAGUCAGUCAUGCUCUUUGGUUUAAGCCGUUCUGCGGUGUAUAUCAUUGAGUGGGGUCAACAUCAGUUUUGACCGCUGGAAAAGGGCAGGAGGAAGGUAGCACCCCCGGGUGAACUUAUAGCCUCUUGUCGUAUACAGUGGUUGGGACUGAGGAACGCAGCAUGCCUUUUGGCCGGGAUUCGUCCACGUACAUGCUUAGGAUGUUGACAUAAUGGCUUUAAACGAC